ACGGAUAACAUACCGAAAGGUAUGCUAAUACGGGAUAAUAUAUUUGAGAGGCAUCUCUUGAAUAUCAAAGGUGAGCCAGUACAGGAUGGACCCGCGUCUGAUUAGCUAGUUGGUAAGGUAAAGGCUUACCAAGGCGACGAUCAGUAGCCGACCUGAGAGGGUGAUCGGCCACAUUGGAACUGAGACACGGUCCAAACUCCUACGGGAGGCAGCAGUGGGGAAUAUUGCACAAUGGGCGAAAGCCUGAUGCAGCAACGCCGCGUGAGUGAUGAAGGCCUUCGGGUCGUAAAACUCUGUCCUCAAGGAAGAUAAUGACGGUACUUGAGGAGGAAGCCCCGGCUAACUACGUGCCAGCAGCCGCGGUAAUACGUAGGGGGCUAGCGUUAUCCGGAUUUACUGGGCGUAAAGGGUGCGUAGGCGGUCUUUCAAGUCAGGAGUGAAAGGCUACGGCUCAACCGUAGUAAGCUCUUGAAACUGGGAGACUUGAGUGCAGGAGAGGAGAGUGGAAUUCCUAGUGUAGCGGUGAAAUGCGUAGAUAUUAGGAGGAACACCAGUUGCGAAGGCGGCUCUCUGGACUGUAACUGACGCUGAGGCACGAAAGCGUGGGGAGCAAACAGGAUUAGAUACCCUGGUAGUCCACGCUGUAAACGAUGAGUACUAGGUGUCGGGGGUUACCCCCUUCGGUGCCGCAG
rnacentral:rRNA from 1 species